rnacentral:rRNA from 1 species
AAUCAGUUAUGGUUCCUUAGAUCGUUCAUACUACAUGGAUAACUGUGGUAAUUCUAGAGCUAAUACAUGCAAAAAGCUCCGACCGUAUGGGAAGAGCGCUUUUAUUAGACCAAAACCAAUGGGGUCGCAAGAUCCCUUUGUAUGGUGACUCUGGAUAACUUUGUGCUGAUCGCAUGGCCUAGAGCCGGCGACGUAUCUUUCAAGUGUCUGCCCUAUCAACUUUCGAUGGUAAGCGAUUUGCCUACCAUGGUUGUAACGGGUAACGGGGAAUCAGGGUUCGAUUCCGGAGAGGGAGCAUGAGAAAUGGCUACCACAUCUACGGAAGGCAGCAGGCGCGCAAAUUACCCACUCCUAGAACGGGGAGGUAGUGACGAAAAAUAACAAUACCGGACUCAAUGAGGCUCGGUAAUUGAAAUGAGUACAGUUUAAAACCCUUAACGAGGAUCUAUUGGAGGGCAAGUCUGGUGCCAGCAGCCGCGGUAAUUCCAGCUCCAAUAGCGUAUAUUAAAGUUGUUGCAGUUAAAAAGCUCGUAGUUGGAUCUCGGGUACUAGCAUGUGGUACGCUUAACUGCUGUUACUACAUGUCUGGUCCUAAUCAACCGGUUGGCCGUUGAUGCCCUUUAUUGGGUGUUUUCGGUAGCCGGUACGUUUACUUUGAGAAAAUUAGAGUGCUUAAAGCAGGCCUUACGCCUGAAUAAUGUUGCAUGGAAUAAUAGAAUAGGACCUCGGUUCUAUUUUGUUGGUUUUGUAGAGCAUUGAGGUAAUGAUUAAUAGGGACAGACGGGGGCAUUCGUAUUGCGGUGUUAGAGGUGA